rnacentral:rRNA from 1 species
AACGAACGCUGGCGGCAUGCCUAACACAUGCAAGUCGAACGAGACCUUCGGGUCUAGUGGCGCACGGGUGCGUAACGCGUGGGAACCUGCCCUUAGGUUCGGAAUAACUCCCCGAAAGGGGUGCUAAUACCGGAUAAUGUCUUCGGACCAAAGAUUUAUCGCCUUUGGAUGGGCCCGCGUUGGAUUAGCUAGUUGGUAGGGUAAAAGCCUACCAAGGCGACGAUCCAUAGCUGGUCUGAGAGGAUGAUCAGCCACACUGGGACGGGGACACGGCCCAGACUCCUACGCGAAGCGGCAGUGGGGAAUAUUGGACAAUGGGCGGAAGCAUGAUCCAGCACUGCCGCGUGAGUGAUGAAGGCCUUAGGGUUGUAAAGCUCUUUUACCCGGGAUGAUAAUGACAGUACCGGGAGAAUAAGCUCCGGCUAACUCCGUG